rnacentral:misc_RNA from 1 species
AUAUCCUCAAAAGAGACCUUUCUUGAGGAGACCUCUUUUGGAAGUUGGGGUGUGCUGGCCCUUUGUUCUAGGGUUUGGCUCCUCUGAAAUGCAUUAGCGGUGUGACAUCCACCUGCACAUGCCUCCUUGGCAUUGAUAAGUCCUUCAUGCCGAAGUCGCUGAGCAGCUGUGGCAAAGGGGUUCACUCGCUCAAAGCUUUGCAUGGGUUUUCCCAUCAUUAUGACCCAA